GCCCAUUUUUCCUUUGUUAUCCUCCGAUUUUACGGAGUGUGCCCUCCCUCCCUGUCUUCUUGUUCCUCUUUCGAGGACCUGCUUCUCCCCUUCCAUUUUCGAACCCUAGAUUUUAUCUCUCUUCUUCAACGAUUCCAUAUGUUAAAUCCUAUCCAAGCUAUCUCAAAUUGUUCGACUUCAAGUUCUUUUCAGGGUUUUGAUACUCGGAACUUCGGAAGAGAUUGACGGAAUCGAACUAAGAUGUCAAUAAUGGAGAGUUUGAUUGUACUAUUCUCGGAGACCGUCGCGGUGGUGGCUCUCUUUCUCUGAUCUUUGGGAGGUCAUUCCUAUCCUCUUUGUUCUCAGUGGUUAGUGUAAAAUUGGGUCUGAAGCUUGACACUGUUGUACUUCAGUUCCAAAAUCAUAAGAUCUCUCAUAAGCUUGAAGUACAGAAGAUAGAAAUUAUGUCCCUUGAGAAUAAAGUGGCACAACAUUAAGAGAAGCAACAAACAUAUAAUAAGGUGUUGGCAGUGGUCGAUAAAAGCUGGAACAAGCGACUUAAAACAAGCGCACCUGGACCAUGCAAAGCUUGUCAGAAAUCCAGCAAUAUUCUGCAUAAUGUAGGGCCUGUUGUUGUGACCUGUGGCAUAUGAAAGAUGGAGUAUAUGCUGUCGUAUUGACAACACUUCCAGAGGAUAUGUUCAAGGUUCAUGCAGACGGAAAUCAUCUAAUGAUAUGUCAGCUGAAGUUAAGAACUUGCUAUCAGCUCUUAACGAUAUUCUAAUGAGGAUCCGCCUAUGGAAGAGUUAUGUCAUACCCUCAAGUACGGCAAGUUAUGGACAGACGGGUACUGAUAAAAAUAUAUUCACUGAGACCUAUUGCUGAAUAUGCAAUUGAGGACAUAUUUCAUACUCCUAUAUCACAGUUUUCUCCCUCUUCUUCUCACGCUUCCUUGCAACAACAAUGAAGUACGAAAGGAAUGAAAGUCGAGAAGUUGAGGCAUAAGUCCAAGGUGAGCUCUUGAUCCGGCUUCGUGCAAGGUUCGAGCUGGAGCAAGUUAGUUGACUGUCUUCUGAAGAGCAUGGACGAGCAUCCAAUCCUCUGCAUUUCUCCUCUCAUCCAUCUCUUGGUGUCGAAGAUCGACCUUUUCUGCUUUUGGUUCAGGUUUAACUGUAAGAAAUUUUGGUCCUCGUAGAUUGAAUUCUCUGUCUUCCUCAUUGUCCUCAUUUUCUUUCCUGCUUCGUAAUAAUCUCUUUAAAUUGCUACAGUUGUCAAGGAGCUUCAAGUUAGAAUCAGAUGCUACAUUAUUGGAAUUGCCUUUGAUGGCCUCUUGUAUAUUGUUUCUGAUGGCUGGUGAUGCAUAUACUUCUUAUGUCUUGUGGUAAUCUUCCAUUCCUGAUGCUUUUACUUCACCAAAAUUAUCCUCAAUCGAGGAGAGUUCUACCUUGUUUGAAUCUUCUACUUCACCAGUAUUCGCUGGUCUUUUACUGACGCAAUUGUCAGCUUCACACAGUUUCCAUUCUGUAACAUCUUCCUGUAGAAAACAAGUCCUUCAACUGUAGGGCUUACAUCAAUUUGAUCAUCUUUACUGACCAUGCAAAUUUCUUCCUUUUUACUAAAAGAAUCGUCAUCAGUAAUCGUUGAUAUAGGUGUAGUAGUCUCCUUACUUGAGUCUUCUCCGGCUUCUACUACUGUGUAGUUUCCUUCACUUGAUUCAUUAUCUUUAGUUUUGACAAUAAAGUGGUAAGAAUCGAGCUCUACAUUUUGAGAUUCUAUAAUUUCUUCGAGGAGGUCAGAGAAAAUUUUCCUUGUUCAUCCAUGGACUCUUCAACAAGGAAGGUCACUUCCUUGGCUAGGUGAGAAUCCUUACAUAUCUCAUUCUUUGAUUCAUAAUUCAUAUCAAUUGUGACCAUUACUUGCGCUUGUGUGUGCUUAUUCCCUGUACCAUAUGUCACAAUCAGGCUGCAGUUAUUUAUUAUGUCAAUCAACAUUCUGUAAAUACUUAUCUAAUCAUUACUUUACACUAUCUGAAGUGGGGCUUGGAUGCUACUCUAUGUUACAUGAUUGUCCGAUUUAUA